CAAAGAGAGGAAUGAUUCUCUGGCCAAAGAUCCUGCACUCCUGCGCCUACCUCUCAAGACUGCUGAGCCGCAUAAACAGAUGGGGAAUUUAACUCAACACUUGGCGCUAGUCGGAUUGCAGUGUGGCACACCGCAAGAAGACGAGCAAAAUGGUGAAGCUGAGGCCAAGGAAGCUUGUGCCUGGCUGCGAGCCGCUGGAUUUCCUCAAUAUGUACAAAUGUAUGAAG